AGCUUCGUCGUGGGUGUGCUGUCGAUCGGGUCGCCAAGGGGGUUGGUUGCCGGCGUUCCGGUGAGGGGCAGUGGUGGGUGUCAGAGCUCCGAUGAGGGCGGACCGAUAGCAUUGGCAGCAUGGGGGCUCGACAACAGCAUCACGAGCAGAUUAUGAGUAACCGGCGAGAGCUGCUGGAUGUCGGAGUAGAAGCGAGCUACUGGUGGCAGCGAGGAGCUUGGCUGCUGGCGUCGUUGGCGCUCGGGCAGAGGUGGUGAUAGCAAGCUAAGGCG
rnacentral:lncRNA from 1 species